CAACCACUGGGGAAAGAUCUCUUCUGGAGAUCUGCUCUGCUGAAGUUUCAUAAGUGAGCCCUGGAUAUGGAAGUCCUGUCUCAUAAGACCAUAGCUCUCUACAACCUGCAGCUGCUGCUCCAGUGCUGCACACCUGUGACCUGGUGAACUCUCCAUUUGGUUCUUCUUCCUCCUCGGUCCUGCCAGCAAAGAGUACUCCUGCAGCAGCUGGCUUCUCCUUGUGCUUCAUCUAAUUAAAAUGAGAUAGGAAAUGGCAGCCAGAGGAAAUCCUCUUGGACCAUCCGUCUCUGUAAGCAUGCCCAGGCUGGGCAACAGUGAGCUUCAGCCCAGCUUGUUAUUAGCAUCCUGCCCUGCCCCAGGAGGAUUUUGGAUUUAGUCCCAGUCAUUUCUCUUUUUCCUGGACAGUGGGGCCAGACAGCACCACAGAGAUUACUGUAUUUGCUCUGGGAGCAUAAACAAAUGAUGCGGGGGUGGAAAGCGUGAGUCUCUUGCACAGCACAACUUGUCAAAAGGAGGCCCUUGGGCUUGCUUUUGGAAAUAGUACAACCCAGCUCUUAGCCCUGACUUCCUGCAUGUGUGAGAUGCAUCCCCAGCUACUGUGUACAAAAAACCUGCA